UAAAGGGACCUAGGAAAGGUCCCUUCAAUUCUGCUUUUUAGAUACAUCAAAUACAAGAUAUGCAUAGCUUCAAAACUUAAUCAGGGGGACUUUGCCUUCUCCGCUUUAUUAAAUACAUUAUGGGCAUGCAGGGUCAAAUACUUUUACCUUUACAAAAUUAUUGAAAUAAAUUUAUAUGUUGUAUGUUAGGAUACCAAGAAUAAUGUGCAUGAGUUUCAUGGUACUGAUAUUUCCUCUCCUUCAUUAUCUUUAAAAAGAAAAAAAGAAAAAAGUGUAAUGCAUCUUUAAUAAAUGCCUGGAAUGGGCUGCUAAGUGGUUUACUCCACUCCUACCUCUAACUCCAGGUGGUAUGGGACCCAUCUGGGCUGCUUGACUGCUCAUACAGUUUUGAUGAGAAGGGAGUCACCAACCCUAUUCUUUCCAGUGUAGUGGAGGACCACCAGGACUCACCAUCUGCCCUGCCACUUCUUCAACACCCCAGGGAAACUGGAAGUGUUCAAGCAGCUUCCUGGCUUCACUUCACUAUCUUGAGCCUAUCCCAUGAAUUUUCUUCACUCAUUUUAAGGAUUGAUAUCUGCUCCUAGGGCACAGGGAAGAUUGUUCCAAGAUUCCUCUAGAGGGCAAGAGGAGUUUCAAGCUGCACUGGAGCCAGGGCUUCAGGCUCCCCACCUGUGAAAUAAUAGAAGGAAGGAAGGAAAAGAAGGAAGAGGAAAGGAAGAAAGAAGGAAAAUCUGAAAAAAUCUGAACUCACAGUACUUUAACUGAUGACCCAACUCCUGUUUGAUUCCAUUGAAAAGAGUUCUGACGCUGUAAAGAAAACUUUUUUUCAACCCUGGGUAAGAAAACAAAAAGUUUUGUCAUCCUUAUUUGAUGUAAGGACUAAAGGACAAUUUGGACCCAUGCUUAUCUAAAUUCAAACAUAAAGUAUACAGCCCAAAAUAAGUGUUUAAACUAUAAUGUUGUGUGAAUUGUCAUCUCCUUAAGGAACCAUCUACCACAACAAAAUAAAGUCCCCUGCCUUUACAUAAUAACUAUUUUUUUUACCUUAGUCUAAUAAGUGCUACGUUUAUUUAAGCUAUAAAUGUUUAUUUCACUGGUAACAGUUUCUGAAAAGCUUAUUUCCAUUUCUCCCCCUUUUAAUACUUGGGGAUAGUUGGGAAGCUCAAAUGUUUCCCCAAAAUUUUCCUGAGAUAUUUAGUAUACUAAAGUAUACUUUUGAAAUCACAUUUAAAAAACUGUUGUGGAAUCUGGCAAAUUUUCCCCCAAAGAUUGUAAUUCUUAUAAAACAUUAUUUUUCCCCUUUGUGUUGAUUCUGUAAUAUUUCCUUGUUCUCCCAAUGAAAUUCAAAUGUGAAGACUUAACCUAGAAAUUUGGUGUCUAUAUUUCUAAUUUUAAAAAUUAACCAAUUUUUAGGUAUCAUGUAAGUAAAUACAUCAUUCUGAAAGAACCAUCACCAUUAGCCAUGAAAGGCUUUUUCCCCCAUAUACUUUAUUCAUUUACUACCAACAACAAAAAUGCCAGUCAGGAUCAGUACAUCCAUUCAGUGAAUAUCCUACUAAUCCAUGCUUGCAGGGAAUGGCCUUGGAAUUUUAAGAGAUAACUAUGUUUGGGAAAGGAUUUAGAUUUGAAGACCACCAUAAUAUUCCUUGUAAUAUGUGUAUUGACACAUAAUAUGUGUCACUAAAUCAUUAAAGUGCCAGGUAAAUUUUUUUUCUUAUAAAUGUUUGGGAACAAAAUUCAAAAUGUUUAUAGAAUGACAUAUUCUAAAAAGUGCCCUCAUCUAACCCAUUAUGGAAGGGGUGGGGUGAAUAGGUCUGGACCUGUUAUUUUACUAGUUUUUAGCAAACACUCUAUGAGGAAUAUUCACUCUCCCCUUUCAAAACACACUUUACAUGAAAAGAUUGGCAUAUGUCCUUCUUUGUGCAAGUACAGAUAUGACUUCCAGUCUAACCUCCCUCUACUAGUUUCUCCUCUAGCCAAGACUAUAAUCAACUUGAAAUACAUUUUUACCCUCAAUAGAUCCAUUUAGCAGCACAGACUAUGCUACAGUAUUUCUGCUUUUUCAAGAAAUUCAUUAAAAGUAUACUUGCCAGCACAGUAGUUUCAGUGUCUGUUUUUUUUUUUUCCUUUGUGCAGGGAGGUUUAGGUUUACCUUGGAACUUUUAAGAAGUGAGUAGUGAAACUGUUCGUUUCAAGGAAACUCACACUUAGCAAAAUAAUUUUUGAGAAAUUCUCUUUGGGCACAGCAGAAUAACUGUUGAGGACAGGACUAUUGCUGUUCAGAAUUUAGAAGUUUGAGGGUAAACAGAAGCAGACUAUAAAGGACUAAAUCACUGGUUUUCAAGUUAAUCCUAGUUGUUAUAAUUUGAAGCAGUACAUGUGCAUUAAAUAUAUUAAUUUUGUUCAAGUACUCAACUAUAGUUGGUAUGUAAAUAAAUUUAAAAUAAAAUAAUUGGGGAUGAUAGGAAAUAAAUGCUCUCAUUGGAUAUUCAGCAUCCCAUAACACUAACAUGGAUCACAAUUAUAAAUAUUGUUGGAUUUCAUAUGAAAAUAUAUCAGGCAAUGUGUUAUUAAGAUUUUUAGAAACUAAGAAUAAAGAUGUACAUAUUCAUUUCUAUAUAGCAAUUACAUUCCCAUGAUAAAGAUGUCUGUAUAGAUCAAAUAGACAUACUCAUGAUGGAGAAGUUGAAUGUUAGUUUUAUUUUGAGAAAUAGCAUAAGGAUAUUGGUUGUCCUAGUUUUUGAGAGGGGAAGAUACUAUUAGCAGCCAUUUAGUUUUCAAUAUUGAUAACAAAGCAUUUUUGUGUUUAUAUGUUAUUAUAUUCAUAAUUAUUUCAUUUGCAUACUUCUCAAAGUAAUAAUUUGUGAGCUUUUUUUUUCUGAAGCCUUUUGAUCAGCUUUUGUUUUUCCUUGUUUAUGUAAGUGGCUUUUGCCAAUUUUAUUGUUCCACUUCCAUACAUUUUCCACAAAACAUUCCAUAGAAAUAUUUUUCUUGUAUCAUAUUUUAUUCAAACAAAUCAAGAAGUUAUUAUAGUUUUAAACAAUACACAAAAAUUCAACAUAUUAUAGAAAGAUGCUGAUAGUGAUAAUAUCUAACAUUUAUAUAGCACUUACUAUAUACCUGGCAUUGUAC